rnacentral:lncRNA from 1 species
UUUUUUUCAAGCCUUAGGGUUGAGUCACCAGUCAACAAGUCCAAGCACAAGAGUCCAAAAAUAAUCAAAAACGCGUGGAAAAUGGAUCAAGGCAAAUCAAAUCAAAUCUGAAACAAAAAUAUAAAGAUCCAAUCUUUUUAUUUUUGUUGAUUACAGUUAUAUUUGAAUAUACCUAAAAUAACAAGGCUAAUUCUUUACAAAUCUUUAUACACAAUUUACAUAUUAACUAACUCAAAAAGUUGUUGUUC